rnacentral:tRNA from 1 species
CCUGGUAUUGCAAAAGACCUAAACCCUUUCUAUAGAGAUUCAAAUCCUCUCGUUAACU